AUGAACGCUGGCGGCGUGCUUAACACAUGCAAGUCGAACGGAAAGGCUCCUGCUUGCAGGGGUACUCGAGUGGCGAACGGGUGAGUAACACGUGGGUGAUCUGCCCUGCACUUCGGGAUAAGCCUGAGAAACUGGGUCUAAUACCGGAUAGGACCACAUUUUGGAUGGUGUGGUGGAAAGUUUUUCGGUGUGGGAUGAGCUCGCGGCCUAUCAGCUUGUUGGUGGGGUAAUGGCCUACCAAGGCGUCGACGGGUAGCCGGCCUGAGAGGGUGUACGGCCACAUUGGGACUGAGAUACGGCCCAGACUCCUACGGGAGGCAGCAGUGGGGAAUAUUGCACAAUGGGCGCAAGCCUGAUGCAGCGACGCCGCGUGGGGGAUGACGGCCUUCGGGUUGUAAACUCCUUUCGCUAGGGACGAAGCGUUUUUGUGACGGUACCUGGAGAAGAAGCACCGGCUAACUACGUG
rnacentral:rRNA from 1 species